GGAAAGCGGUGCACCUGGAUGGCGCUCUGGCAACCGGGGAGGCAGGGCUGAUUUCUACCCGCGGCAGCGGCUGCCGCCUUUCCCUGACUUGACUUUGAUCCCCCUCUUCUUGAUAUUGUUACUAUUAUUUUUGUUAUUUUCCCGCGCAAAUUAAGCAGCUGGGACCGGUAGGGCGAGCCGCUCAGGGGCCGCCAUUUGCCGGUGGAAGCACCGAUCGCCCCGGAAAGGGAACCCGAGGGGAGUGCUCGGCCUCAAGUCCUCCUCCGCCCGCGGCUCCCGCAGCAUCCCGGCUCCGCGCCCGCGCCGCCCCGGCGUCUCAGCGUCCUCCUCCAUUGUCAGCCCCGCGCCCAGCUCGGCACCCCGGAGGCCCUGGUCGCGCGCCCUCGGCCCUUGCGAGCCAGCGUCCCCCUCCCGGUUCCCUCGGCGCCCGGGCGCCUCCCUCCUCCCUCCCCCGCUCCCCGAGCUCCGCAUCCAGGGCUCCCGGCACCGCCAGCCUGGCCGCGGGACCCCGCAUUUCGGCAUCCUCCCUGCUUGGCCCAGGGUGCCCCGGCCCCUCGCCAGCGGCGGGCAUCGCGCGGCGUCUUCGGCAAACCCCCCUUUUAUCUCCCGAGGAAGCAAGUUGGGCAGAUCGAUUUAUUAAUUUCUGUGGCAGAGUGGAACCACAGGGCCAGUUCGCGGAGCUGUCGGCUGCGAGGACACCGCUUCCCUAGAGCCCGGCACGGAGGCCUUGUGGUCACCAGCCACAGGCUCCAGAUAGCUCUACCCACCUUUGCUGGGCGAAAGAGGUGUGGGCGUUCAUCUGCCCAUUACGGGAUGAGAAGGUGAACGGAAACGAAAAAAAAAAAAAAAAAAAAAAGAAGCAAGCCACGUUGGAUGCAGCCCUGAUCUGAAAUUACCAAACACGUUACUGUGUCGCGCACGGCGCCGAAGGAACCGAGAAUUUAUUCUGGUGAUUCGCUAGUAGUGAUGGAGAUCCAGUUGUGCUUCCUGGUGGAUGAAGACCAUGUGCCCCGGCAUCAUUUAAAAAUUGGAUUGCGUUAAUUUGCCAUCUCCCGACGGUUAUUGAGGUUAAGCACAAAGAGAGUGUCUAAAGAAGCAUUUUUUUUUUAUUAGUUUCUGGAAAAUUCAUUGUGAUGGCGGUGCAGUGGACAGUAUCAGGUGACACUGGGCGCGUGUAGUUGCUUGGCCCCUGAUGAAAAACCAUGUUGUCUUUUGUACUGUGAACCCUGUCAAGGGCACAUGGCUCUAGGGCCAGUCACCAUAAGCAUUCAGUUGAAUGGACGGUCCAUGGUGCCUCAGAUUUUUUCCUGCAUGAAUCAGAGGACUCUGGGAGGAAACCUUUUGAUUUCUGCAAAAAUAAAAAAUAAAAAAAUGUGAAGCCGAGAUCUUUA
rnacentral:lncRNA from 1 species